UAUUAGGUUGGUGCAAAAGUAAUCGCGGUUUUUGCCAUAAAAGAAAUGGCAAGAACCGUAAUUACUUUUGUACCAACCUAA
rnacentral:miRNA from 1 species